CCUACGGGAGGCAGCAGUGAGGAAUAUUGGUCAAUGGCCGCAGGGCUGAACCAGCCAAGUCGCGUGAGGGAUGACGGUCCUAUGGAUUGUAAACCUCUUUUGUCAGGGAGCAAAGGGCGCCACGUGUGGCGUUUUGCGAGUACCUGAAGAAAAAGCAUCGGCGAACUCCGUGCCAGCAGCCGCGGUAAUACGGAGGAUGCGAGGGUUACCCGGCUUUAUUGGGGUUAAAGGGUUCGCAGGCGGAAUGUCAAGUCAGCGGUAAAAUUUCCGGGCUCAAACCCGUGGUGACGUGGAAAAUGGCGUUCUUGAGUGAGCGAGAAGUAUGCGGAAUGCGUGGUGUAGCGGUGAAAUGCAUAGAUAUCACGCAGAACUCCGAUUGCGAAGGCAGCAUACCGGCGCUCAACUGACGCUCAUGCACGAAAGCGUGGGUAUCGAACAGGAUUAGAUACCCUUGUAGUC
rnacentral:rRNA from 1 species